rnacentral:misc_RNA from 1 species
GGAAGGAUCAUUAGAGAUGCCGAAAGGCUUUUCCAAACACCUGUGCACCGGCCUGAAGCCCGCGAGGGCCGACGGCCAUCUACACACAUACAGCUGUCAUGAACGUAAAUUAUCAUAACGAAAAAACAACUUUCAACAACGGAUCUCUUGGCUCUCGCAUCGAUGAAGAACGCAGCGAAAUGCGAUAAGUAAUGUGAAUUGCAGAAUUCAGUGAAUCAUCGAAUCUUUGAACGCACCUUGCGCCUUUUGGUAUUCCGAAAGGCAUGCCUGUUUGAGUGUCAUGUAGACUCAACCCCUCGGGUUUCUUGCCCGAGGUGCGUUGGAUCUGGGCCCUGCCUACCUGGCUGGCCUUAAAUGUGUUAGCGGUGACCGCGCAGACGUUGUAAGCACUCGUCGACCGUCGGGCCCGCUCAUAACCCCACCUACUUUUGCACUCUGACCUCAAAUCAGGUAGGGCUACCCGCUGAACUUAAGCAUAUCAAU